UACGUAGGGUGCAAGCGUUUGUCCGGAAUUAUUGGGCGUAAAGAGCUCGUAGGCGGUCUGUCACGUCUGCUGUGAAAACUCGGGGCUUAACCCCGGGCCUGCAGUGGGUACGGGCAGACUAGAGUGCGGUAGGGGAGACUGGAAUUCCUGGUGUAGCGGUGAAAUGCGCAGAUAUCAGGAGGAACACCGGUGGCGAAGGCGGGUCUCUGGGCAGUAACUGACGCUGAGGAGCGAAAGCGUGGGGAGCGAACAGG
rnacentral:rRNA from 1 species